rnacentral:rRNA from 1 species
AUGGCGAUUAGUACAAGAUAUGCAAGCUUUGUAUGCUUGGCAGCCCUCAUGUUGGUAAUGUCCACCGUGAUGUUGUACUGUGAGGCUGAUCGAAAAGAAUCAUGCUAUGGGGUUGAAGAUGGAUGUGAUGAACCGAAGUGCAAGGAAUAUUGUGUGCUCACUGGUCACACCAAGGGAUCUCAUUGCCCGAGUGCUGAAGAAUGUUGUUGUUUUAGUGCCGCCAAGCCAAAUGUGAACGUCGUCCGUCGUCGUGAUUGA